rnacentral:rRNA from 1 species
GACGAACGCUGGCGGCGUGCCUAAUACAUGCAAGUCGAACGCAGUGGGGACGGGUGAGUAACACGUGGGUAACCUCCCAUCAGAGGGGACAACACUCGGAAACAGGUGCUAAACCGAUACUGAUGGAUGGACCCGCGUUGCAUUAGCUAGUUGGUGAGGUAACGGCUCACCAAGGCCACGGUGCAAAACCGACCAGAGAGGGUGAUCGGCAACACUGGGGCUGGGACAGGGCCAAGAGUCCUGCGGGGGGCGGCAGUAGGGAAUCUUCGGUAAUGGACGAAAGUCUAACCGAGCAACGCCGCGAGAGUGAGGAAGGUUUUCGAGUCGUAAGACUCUGUUGUGAAAGAAGCGGUAUCUAGCCAGAAAGCCACGGCUAACUACGUGCCAGCAGCCGCGGUAAUUC